rnacentral:siRNA from 1 species
UUGCAUUGAAGAUCUGCCUCCC